AUCGAACGCUGGCGGCGGGCCUAACACAUGCAAGUCGAACGAGUGGCGGACGGGUGAGUAAGGUCUGGGAAACUGAGUGACGGAGGGGGAAAAGGGGGGGAAACGGUAGCUAAUGCCGCAUACCAGAAGAUUGGGCGAGGUGGGAUUAGCAUGUUGGAGGGGAAAAGGCUCCCCAUGGGGACGAUGCCUAGCUGGUCUGAGAGGAUGACCAGCCCCACUGGACCUGAGACACGGUCCAGACUCCUACGGGAGGCAGCAGUGGGGAAUAUUGCACAAUGGGCGAAAGCCUGAUGCAGCCAUGCCGCGUGGAUGAAGAAGGCUUUCGGGUUGUAAAGUACUUUCAGCGGGGAGGCGGUACCCGCAGAAGAAGCCACGGCUAACUCCGUGCCAGCAGCCGCGGUAAUAC
rnacentral:rRNA from 1 species